GCAGUAGCCACGGGAAUACGAGGGGGGCAAGCGUUGUUCGGAAUUAUUGGGCGUAAAGGGUGCGUAGGCGGUUUGAUAAGUCAUCUGUGAAAUCUCUGGGCUCAACCCAGAGUCUGCAGGCGAAACUGUCGAGCUUGAGUAUUGGAGAGGUGAGUGGAAUUUCCGGUGUAGUGGUGAAAUGCGUAGAUAUCGGAAGGAACACCUGUGGCGAAAGCGGCUCACUGGACAAUUACUGACGCUGAUGCACGAAAGCUAGGGGAGCAAACAGGAUUAGAUACCCCGGUAGUCCCUGUCUCUUAUAC
rnacentral:rRNA from 1 species